rnacentral:lncRNA from 1 species
UCAUACUAUGAAAUUCAUAGGAUGUCAGAAGAAUGUUGCAUUAUAUAGAAUAAGUUAUAAGAUUGAUAGAACAUGGCCUUAAGUUUGGAUGUUGUUUAUUUUUUGAAUAAAGAAUAUUUAGUUAUGAUUUUCUGUAAUUAAUAUUCAUUGCGUGGAAGUAGGAAUCGUUAUUUAAAUGGUAUUUAGUUUUGGAAGGAAAUGGCAUAUUUUGU